UAGGGAAUCUUCCGCAAUGGACGCAAGUCUGACGGAGCAACGCCGCGUGAGUGAAGAAGGAUUUCGGUUCGUAAAACUCUGUUGUUAGAGAAGAACAGCGCAUAGAGUAACUGUUAUGCGUGUGACGGUAUCUAACCAGAAAGCCACGGCUAACUACGUGCCAGCAGCCGCGGUAAUACGUAGGUGGCAAGCGUUGUCCGGAUUUAUUGGGCGUAAAGCGAGCGCAGGCGGUCAAUUAAGUCUGAUGUGAAAGCCCCCGGCUCAACCGGGGAGAGUCAUUGGAAACUGGUUGACUUGAGUGCAGAAGAGGAGAGUGGAAUUCCAUGUGUAGCGGUGAAAUGCGUAGAUAUAUGGAGGAACACCAGUGGCGAAGGCGACUCUCUGGUCUGUAACUGACGCUGAGGCUCGAAAGCGUGGGUAGCAAACAGG
rnacentral:rRNA from 1 species